rnacentral:rRNA from 1 species
GGCCCGCACAAGCGGUGGAGUAUGUGGUUUAAUUCGAUGCAACGCGAAGAACCUUACCAGGGUUUGACAUCCUGCGAAUCUCUUGGAAACGAGAGAGUGCCUUCGGGAACGCAGUGACAGGUGGUGCAUGGCUGUCGUCAGCUCGUGUCGUGAGAUGUUGGGUUAAGUCCCGCAACGAGCGCAACCCACGUCUUUAGUUGCCAGCAUUUAGUUGGGCACUCUAGAGAGACCGCCGGUGAUAAACCGGAGAAGGUGUGGAUGACGUCAAGUCAUCAUGCCCCUUACAUCUGGGCUACACACGUACUACAAUGCUACGGACAAAGGGCAGCAAGUUCGCGAGGACAAGCAAAUCUCAAUAAACCGUGGCUCAGUUCAGA